AAUCAUUCACAAAAGCUAACGAAGAGCGAGACCGUCAUACCGGGGUCUACCGUGUUCUUCUUUCUACGACCUUGAGUUAGAUAAUAGGACAAUCGUUCACUCAUCUGCAAGGUAUCAUUUUCCUGUGUUUAUAUUCCAACUAUUUCUUCUGUGGUUAUUUUUUGGUGGAAGAUAGUAACGCUUCAUGGUGGGAUGCAGAAUUCGGAAUAUUGAAGUAUUUGGGUUUUGACGUUGUGAAAUUCAUUGAAAAAAAAACGCGUGAAAUGUGAAAUGUGCGUUGACGAGCGAUCUUAAUCUGUGCUGUUUCUUUUUCUAUUGCUGGACAGUGUUUUUUUUUCCUCUUGAAAAAAUAUUUUUCACAUCAUCUGUACUUUUUUUCUUUUGUUUAUCAUCAUGACGGCAAAACAAAGACAAGCAAAUCAAAAUCAAGGAGGUUAUUGUUUGUGAUGUUCACUUUAGCUGGAGGAGACUUAAUGAAAAUAUAACCAAACUUAAAACCUACGUCAGACAAUUUAUUUGAUACUCGGACGUGUGCUCGAAUCUGCUUCAACUUUCUGUAAAAAAAAAAAAAAAAAAGAAAAAAAAAA